CCGCCGGCUACUCAUAAACAACGCCGGAAGGAAAAGAUCAAUUAUCAAGAGACUUUCUUUUAAAGCUGGCAGAAACUCCUCAGCAUUUCUGCUUCUUAAGACUACAGUUUUGGACAACUUGAGAAACACCUACCCACACAUUAAUUUAAGCUUCUUGGCACUCCGUUGAGAGCUGAUCGGUUAAGGACAAUGAGACAUAAAAGAGGAAAAAAUUCAAGGUGCUUAUCUGGCAUCUGAAACUAACACUCUGUGCUUCUAAAUGUUGGCGUGUCCCCUAUAGUUUCCUCUAUUUGUUUUAUGUUGUCACACUUGUUGGCUGCCAGCUAUUUUAUAAGUGGACUUUCCUCAGCUGUGUUAUUGUCAAGAUCAGACUAAAAGGACAUCUGACUCAAAUCGGUGCAUCUCGGCUCAACUUAACCCCAUUAAGUUUCCGUGUUGGGGGAAAACAGAGAGAAAUAUAAAGAGGCAGCUGCCAUUUGCUCUUUGUCUCAAAAGGGAGAUACUAAACUGAACAAAUAAACGACAAGCCCUUUCCGCAUUUGUC